UGGCCAAGGAUGAGAACUCUAACCUGAUUGGAUAUGCUGCUCUGAUGGGUUGAAGGAUUUACCUGAGGCCA
ensembl:snoRNA